rnacentral:rRNA from 1 species
UUAAAUUGAAGAGUUUGAUCAUGGCUCAGAUUGAACGCUGGCGGCAGGCCUAACACAUGCAAGUCGAGCGGAAACGAGUUAUCUGAACCUUCGGGGAACGAUAACGGCGUCG